rnacentral:rRNA from 1 species
UAACAGAGGGGGGCAAGCGUUUAUUCGGAAAUUAUUGGGCGUAAAGGGCGCGUAGGCGGCUUUGCAAGUGGCGGGUGAAAUCCCCGUCGGCUUAACCGAGGAACUGCCUGCCAGACUGUGAGGCUUGAGACCGGGAGAGGUGGAGUGGGAAUUCCCAGUGUAGCGGUGAAAAUGCGUAGAUAUCGGGAGGAACACCAGUGGCGAAGGCGACUACCCUGGCCUGUUUCUUGACGCUGAGGCGCGAAAGCUAGGGGAGCAAACGGGG